rnacentral:rRNA from 1 species
AACGAACGCUGGCGGCAUGCCUAACACAUGCAAGUCGAACGAGACCUUCGGGUCUAGUGGCGCACGGGUGCGUAACGCGUGGGAACCUGCCCUUAGGUUCGGAAUAACUCCCCGAAAGGGGUGCUAAUACCGGAUAAUGUCUUCGGACCAAAGAUUUAUCGCCAUUGGAUGGGCCCGCGUUGGAUUAGCUAGUUGGUAGGGUAAAAGCCUACCAAGGCGACGAUCCAUAGCUGGUCUGAGAGGAUGAUCAGCCACACUGGGACUGAGACACGGCCCAGACUCCUACGGGAGGCAGCAGUGGGGAAUAUUGGACAAUGGGCGAAAGCCUGAUCCAGCAAUGCCGCGUGAGUGAUGAAGGCCUUAGGGUUGUAAAGCUCUUUUACCCGGGAUGAUAAUGACAGUACCGGGAGAAUAAGCUCCGGCUAACUCCGUG